rnacentral:rRNA from 1 species
GACAGAGGUGCCGAGCGUUAGGCGGAAUCACUGGGCUUAAAGCGUGUGUAGGCGGGCCGUUAAGUAUCUUGUGAAAUCCCCCGGCUCAACCGGGGAAUGGCUGGGAUAUACUGGCGGUCUUGAGCGAUCUAGGGGCAGAUGGAACAGACGGUGGAGCGGUGAAAUGCGUAGAUAUCGGAAGGAACGCCGGUGGCGAAAGCGACGUGCUGGAUCUCUUCUGACGCUGAGGCGCGAAAGCCAGGGGAGCAAACAGG